GAAUCCUGUUGUGGUAAGGUGAGUCAGCAACAAGUCUGUGAACAACAAGAAGAAUUGUCUCUAAUAUUUUGCAAGAAUCGAAGCACAUGGUAACUCCCAGCCAAGCGGAACAAAUAGAAUGAAACCUUUAUUGGAAAAUGAUAUGCCUGUGUAAUUAUAAUUAUAACAUUUAUGGGUGAAGCAAGGUUUGGUAAAAUAAAACAUAAAAGCAAGA